rnacentral:tRNA from 1 species
AGCUUUAUAGUCAAAAAUUAAUGAUAUUAAAUUGCAAAUUUAAAGGUGAAAUAUUUUUCUUUAGCUU